UGGUAUCUUGUUCUCCGUGAUCAAACCAGUCAUGAAGCAUAAACUGGAUCCAUCCAGCAGCCAGCAUGUUAAGCUGCUUCACGGGAAUGAAUUCCUUUCUCAGUAAGGCUCUGGAAAACAAGGAGCAGUUGAUAGAUAUAUUCAUCUUCCACYAGAUGUAGCAUUCUCACGUGCUAUUUGCAUAAGGAAUUGACCUCUAUUUUUUUGCAAAGACGGUGCAGAAAAUUUCUACUGUUUGGAACGGCCAAUACGGCGUCCUUGUCA